GAUGAACGCUGGCGGCGUGCCUAAUACAUGCAAGUCGAGCGAACAGAUGAGGAGCUUGCUCCUCUGACGUUAGCGGCGGACGGGUGAGUAACACGUGGAUAACCUACCUAUAAGACUGGGAUAACUUCGGGAAACCGGAGCUAAUACCGGAUAAUAUAUUGAACCGCAUGGUUCAAUAGUGAAAGACGGUUUUGCUGUCACUUAUAGAUGGAUCCGCGCCGCAUUAGCUAGUUGGUAAGGUAACGGCUUACCAAGGCAACGAUGCGUAGCCGACCUGAGAGGGUGAUCGGCCACACUGGAACUGAGACACGGUCCAGACUCCUACGGGAGGCAGCAGUAGGGAAUCUUCCGCAAUGGGCGAAAGCUUGACGGAGCAACGCCGCGUGAGUGAUGAAGGUAUUCGGAUCGUAAAACUCUGUUAUUAGGGAAGAACAAAUGUGUAAGUAACUAUGCACGUCUUGACGGUACCUAAUCAGAAAGCCACGGCUAACUACGUG
rnacentral:rRNA from 1 species